rnacentral:rRNA from 1 species
CAUGGUUGUCGUCAGCUCGUGUCGUGAGAUGUUGGGUUUAAGUCCCGCAACGAGCGCAACCCCUACGUUUAGUUGCUAACGCGUGAAGGCGAGCACUCUAGACGAACUGCCGUUGACAAAACGGAGAAGGUGGGAUGACGUCAAAUCAUCAUGCCCCUUAUGUUCUGGGCUACACACGUGCUACAAUGGCCGGUACAGACGGACGCAAAGCCGCGAGGUGGAGCAAAUCCUAAAAAGCCGGUCUCAGUUCGGAUUGCAGGCUGCAAUUCGCCUGCAUGAAGUCGGAAUCGCUAGUAAUCGCAGGUCAGCAUACUGCGGUCGAAUACGUUCCCGGGCCUU